rnacentral:ncRNA from 1 species
GCACCGGAANGAAGCUAUACCGCAGUGUUUCUUUACCGGACAUCGAAGGAGAGCGACCCCAGAUGUACGGACGGUGU